AUCUUUCUGUGACGUUCGCGCCAUAACAUUUACAAACACUUUUAAAGGAACACCUAAUAAAAGGAUUGUUACAAAAUAAAUGUGUGAGCUUUUAGAUAUAAGUUUUGGGAUCGCUAUAUAGUAAUCAUGGAAAUUUGAAUUUUCUAUCAAUAAAUACUAUAUCACCGAAUCAAACAUAUUCUCAAAUAUGAGAACAAAGUCAAACUUCCCUAAUUCUAACUUUAAAACCCAAAAAAAAACAGAUGAAGAACUUAGACAAAUGAGACAUACUUCACUCAUCAAAUAUAUAAUCACAGUUCUUCCCGCAGGAAGAAUGGGGGUCUUUCUUUCAAAACUUUGAAAAUUCGUUGUUCUUUUCUUUCCGGCCUGAGUCAUCUGCACCUUUCAAAGACCCACAUUCUUUUUGCGGGAAGAACUCAUGAGUAGGCUCUUUCGAGCCCCAAACCAGAGACUCAGACAGAGAAAGUUCGAACAACAAGGAUUUGAUCACCAGGAGUCAACCAUGCCAUCUGUACCAGAUCCUGAUACGCUUCUAUCACUGGAGGAGUUGCGUGAACGCCGUAUAACUGAUCCUCAUUUACCAAGGAGUUAUCGGAACA